GACGAACGCUGGCGGCGUGCCUAAUACAUGCAAGUAGAACGCACAGUUUAUACCGUAGCUUGCUACACCAUAGACUGUGAGUUGCGAACGGGUGAGUAACGCGUAGGUAACCUGCCUGGUAGCGGGGGAUAACUAUUGGAAACGAUAGCUAUACCGCAUAAUAUUAAUUAUUGCAUGAUAAUUAAUUGAAAGGUGCAAUUGCACCACUACCAGAUGGACCUGCGUUGUAUUAGCUAGUAGGUGAGGUAACGGCUCACCUAGGCGACGAUACAUAGCCGACCUGAGAGGGUGAUCGGCCACACUGGGACUGAGACACGGCCCAGACUCCUACGGGAGGCAGCAGUAGGGAAUCUUCGGCAAUGGACGAAAGUCUGACCGAGCAACGCCGCGUGAGUGAAGAAGGUUUUCGGAUCGUAAAGCUCUGUUGUAAGAGAAGAACGGGUGUGAGAGUGGAAAGUUCACACUGUGACGGUAUCUUACCAGAAAGGGACGGCUAACUACGUG
rnacentral:rRNA from 1 species